UAAGACGGAGGGUGCAAGCGUUGUUCGGAAUUACUGGGCGUAAAGGGCGCGUAGGCGGUCUGUUAAGUUCGGUGUGAAAUCCCCCGGCUCACCUGGGGAACUGCGCCGGAAACCGACAGACUCGAGUACCGGAGAGGAGGGUGGAAUUCCUGGUGUAGCGGUGAAAUGCGUAGAUAUCAGGAGGAACACCGGUGGCGAAGGCGGCCCUCUGGACGGAUACUGACGCUGAGGCGCGAAAGCGUGGGGAUCAAACAGGAUUAGAUACCCUGGUAGUCCACGCUGUAAACGAUGGGAGCUAGGUGUGGGAGGUAUUGACCCUUCCGUGCCGCCGCUAACGCAUUAAGCUCCCCGCCUGGGGAUUACGGCCGCAAGGUUA
rnacentral:rRNA from 1 species